UACGUAGGGUGCAAGCGUUGUCCGGAAUUAUUGGGCGUAAAGAGCUCGUAGGCGGUCUGUCGCGUCGGAUGUGAAAAUCCAGGGCUCAACCCUGGACCUGCAUUCGAUACGGGCGGACUAGAGUUCGGUAGGGGAGACUGGAAUUCCUGGUGUAGCGGUGAAAUGCGCAGAUAUCAGGAGGAACACCGGUGGCGAAGGCGGGUCUCUGGGCCGAAACUGACGCUGAGGAGCGAAAGCGUGGGGAGCAAACAGG
rnacentral:rRNA from 1 species